AAACCUGCAAAAGAUGGCAGAGCUUUAGGAUACUGCCAUAGCAGUCUGUAAAUUCACUCCCUCAAGUCUUCUAAGGUAUCUAUAAUGCCGGAGUCCUAAAGUCCUAAUGAUCACGAAUUACGGGCUCAAAGACGACACUUACUUAAGGUAAUGAUUUCAUGUUGAUGUUCUCUUUUUCUUGGGUCAGUAAAGUUCUUUCAGGAGGAUAAAUUCAUGGUGAGUCUACUUGUACAUAUGGUCCUGAAAUAAGAAGGCCUGUAUCUUUCUAAAGUAGACCGAAGUAGCCAUAUUACCAUAUUUUUUUCUUUUUAAGAAAAUGGCUCUUAGUUUUGAAGUAAACUUGGAAAAUUAGUGAUUAUAUUAACAUUUAGAAUCUCUCAGUUGCAGAUUUGAGGGUUUUGGCUUGUCUUUUUUUUUUUUUAAUCACAACCACCAAAAAUUGACAUUUCCGUUUGCAAUAAAUCUUUCUUCUUUUAUCCUACACAAUAAAGCAUACUGGAUUGCAAAGAAUAAAUAGUAUUAUCACAGGGAUGUCUGUAGAUCUAUGCUUUACUUAGAAAAGUACUUUGAGGGCAGGGUUUUAGUAUCAUUCAUUGUUUUAUCCAUAGUGCCUAGAAUAGUGCUGGACCCUCUAUAACAUAUUUGUUGACUGGCUAUUACUAACAAAUUAGGAGCAAUACAAUUGAUUGCAUUGUAUCUCAACAGCUCUCAAAACUGCUGUUUUAUGGCUUUUUUUUUUUUUUCCAGUGUGACAGUAGUCUUUAAAAUUCUGGGCAAAUAAUUAGAUAGAAAUAAUUAAGAACAAAAGCAAAUUGAUGAGGGGAAAAAAAAAAACUAUAGAGGAAGCCACUAAGCACUAAGUAUGUUUUCGGGGGUGCAUAGGGAGAAAGAAUGUGGUUUCUCAGUUUGUUCUGUGUAAGUUUGUCUUUUUGCUGACCUCUGAGACAUCCUUCACAUCAUACAACUUCCACAUAGAGAAGCCAAAGGAUAAAAUAUAACCUACAUCUCUAAUAGAAUCUGUAGGAUGCCACCCUGCUCUCCCCAUCCCAAUAUAUAUACAGUCUUAAAAAUAAUUUAUUUCCACAGGGAAAUAGUUCCACUAGGCAGAGUUUCAGCAGAAAAAGAAGGGCCAGGCCUACCCGAAGAGAGAAUACUCUGAAAAUGUUUUACCGUUUACCGCUGUGCCGCCACCCUAUCAACGAGCACUGUCCUCUCUUUCGCAGCAGUCACAUGUUAAGAGGCCAAACACGGUGGUCGGCAAAGCCAGCUCCCCACUGGGCGAGCCACAGCUUACUAUGCGGCAGCCUCAGCAGAUGGGGAGGAAACAGCCUCUCUGGUCUGAAGUCAGAGUUCGCUGGCAGCGCUGCCCUUACCCAUACCUUCGCGAUGAAGAUCCCUGCAUCCAUGAUGGCCUUGAUGUGCCUUAACCAGCCCGAGUUCUCCAGUCCCCACAGAAAGUCACUCAUUGAGGGAGAUUUCAGUUCACACACUGCAAGCUCCAGCUCUCAUCUCAGGGUCCUGUAAUCAAGUCCCAAGCCCCCAGGUCCUGCCCUGCGCUCAGCGUGGAGUCUGUUGUCCCUCUCCCUCCUCCGCUCGUGCUCCCGUGCCUUCUCUCUCUCGCAAGUAAAGAAGUAAAAUCUUUAAAAAAGAGAAAGUGCCUCAAAAGACAUCUGUCUACAAUCUCCUUGUGGAAAAUCCCCGUCCAUGCAUUUCAAUAAGUGAAACGGGCUGGGUCAGAGGGUCCUAACCACGUAUUGCCAAACCGCUCUCCGAAGGAGUUGGCCCAGUCUGCAUCCUCACCAACAGGGUGGGAGAAUUCCUUUCUGGUAGUGCCAAUGCUGUCAGUUUGGUCACCGUUAUUUCUCUAAGAUUUAGGAUGAGAUUUCUUCUAACGAUUCAAAUGUCCAAAGUCCAAAUAUUUGCAACCAGAGGCAUCAAACUGUAGUCACAGACCCGACACAGCUGGAAGGACCCGGAGAAAUUAUCAGUCCGAGCUUCUCCUUUUAUGGCAGACUACCUAAAAGGAAGAGAAUCCCCUACGUAUCAUCUGCUGGAACAGGAUCUGGCUGUAACAUGGGUUGUAUCGUUGAUCUCCGGGGCAGAUUUGCUGAUCUGGUAUCUGAGAGAGACGACUUCACCGCCGCCCCGCCCACCAGUACCCCACAGCUGCACUUCGGUCAGGAGCUCGGGACUGCUGGAGGUCACGGGGACAACCAGGGCGCUGAUCUUACUUACACCAGGAAAACAUCAAGUUAAGGGAACCAGGCCAUGAAUCACAGCAUUUGAUGACAUGAGGCUCAGAGAAGCAUUGAAAACUGCCAGGGUCUGAGUGCCCACAUAAUGGGUUCACGAUUCAGGGCUGCAAAGACAUGCACAGGAACGGCAACACUUACUUUGGGCCGGGUGUCCACGACGUAAAUGAAGUCGCUUUCCGGAUUGGCUUUCCUGAUGGCCUGGAGCAUCUGCUCGUCCUCGAGGCACCG